AGUGAACGCUGGCGGUAGGCCUAACACAUGCAAGUCGAACGGCAGCACAGUAAGAGCUUGCUCUUACGGGUGGCGAGUGGCGGACGGGUGAGGUAAACAUCGGAAUCUACUUUUUCGUGGGGGAUAACGUAGGGAAACUUACGCUAAUACCGCAUACGACCUACGGGUGAAAGCAGGGGCUCUUCGGACCUUGCGCGAAUGAAUGGGUCGAUGUCGGAUUAGCUAGUUGGCGGGGUAAAGGCCCACCAAGGCGACGAUCCGUAGCUGGUCUGAGAGGAUGAACAGCCCCACUGGAACUGAGACACGAUCCAGACUCCUACGGGAGGCAGCAGUUGGGAAUAUUGGACAAUGUGCGCAAGCCUGAUCCAGCCAUACCGCGUGGGUGAAGAAGGCCUUCGGGUUGUAAAGCCCUUUUGUUGGGAAAGAAAAGCAGCAGGUUAAUACCCCGCUGUUCUGACGGUACCCAAAGAAUAAGCACCGGCUAACUUCGUG
rnacentral:rRNA from 1 species